GAUGUAUUUAAAUGAUUGAAUAAAUUAAUAAAUGGAGAAGAGAUAAAUUUCCCAUGCCGAAGAAUUCCAAGUAAUGGAUAUCGCUACUCCCCGCGCAGGGAGGGGAGCGUGGCCCCCGCUCCGUCAGGGUGUGCCCACACGGUGACUCCCUUCAGAAGAGCGCAGUUUGGAUGGCAGUGGAGGAGGGAGUGACUUCACAGGAGAGGAACCUGACAAACGCUGCCUCAGCCAGUGAGCAAGGUCAGCGUCAUCAGUCACCAAUUGUGUGGAGACUGUGGACACUUGACAUCACGGCAGGAGAAUGGGAGUCUGUGGUCUCCUCCCCCAAACUCAUGAGCUUGUAAUUGUGACAGAAGCACCAGACAGAUUUCAGUAGAGCAGUGUGAUGGUUAGUUCUCUGUGACAACUCAGCUAGUCCUCAGCACCCGGUUAUUCAAUCAAACACUCAUCUAGGUACUGCUGUGAAGGUACUUUGUACAUGGGAUGAACAUCUCCGAUCUGUUGACUCUAAGCAAAGGAGACGAUCUCGAUACUCUGGUUGGUCCUCAUCCAAUGAGUUGAAUGGCCUUAAGAACAAAACCAAAGGUUCCCCAAGGAAGAAGAAAGUCUACCUACGGAUGGCAGUGCCAGCGCCUCCCUGCAGACUUUGGACUUGCAUAACCAGCCCCCACAAUUGAUAAGCCAAUUCCUUGGCAAUAAAGCGGAUCUGCACAGGCGGUGCAUCCUUGUAUCCACCAUGGUGAGAGUGUUAGUGAGCAUGAAGGUGCAGCACUCCCCUGGGUAUUAGCACCCCACGUACCUCAGCAACGGAAUCCUUAUUGCCAUCUGGACGGGCCCUGCUGGGAUUGCAGAGGGUUGAUGGCACCAUGUAACAAUGCUGGCAGCCAAGGGGUUAACCCUCAGGCCAGCUGCCCCUGGGCUGAUGUGAGCGCGGGAGAAAUCGGAGAGACACCAUGGAUCACAGGUCAGAAACAAGGGAGGAGAGGCGUCGGAGAUCAGAGACGCGAGGCGAGGGCUCCGGGCCUUGAGUGUGGGGUGGACAGACCAGAUGCCCCCUCUUCCUCCUUCCAAUCGAUGCCUCUUCCAGGGACCCCCUCUGCCCUCCCUGGGGCCUCGGCCCUCUCCCCAUCCCCCUAAAAUCCUGCACCCUCUGCGGAUUGGUCCCCGGCCUGCAGGGGGGCGGGGCCCGAGGGCCCUGACGUCACCGG
rnacentral:lncRNA from 1 species